GCGCCGGUGGUGUAAGACGGGUAGCAUCGCUGCCCAGAAAGCAGAAGAUGCGGGUUGGAGUCCUGCCUGGUGCA
rnacentral:tRNA from 1 species